rnacentral:rRNA from 1 species
UACGUAGGGGGCUAGCGUUGUCCGGAAUCAUUGGGCGUAAAGCGCGCGUAGGCGGCCAGAUAAGUCCGGUGUGAAAGCCACAGGCUCAACCUGUGAAUGCCGCUGGAAACUGUCUGGCUAGAGUCCGGGAGGGGAGAGUGGAAUUCCUGGUGUAGCGGUGAAUGCGCAGAUAUCAGGAAGAACACCCGUGGCUAAGGCGGCUCUCUAGUACGGUACUGACGCUGAGACGCGAAAGCGUGGGGAGCGAACAGG